GACAUUGAAAUGUUCAACCAAUAAGAAAAUUUCUGAAUUUAUAAGUUCUUCAAAAUCGGAAUCAAAGAAUCUGAAAACUGAAUUACCAAAAUCGACUGGGGUGGUCACGUUGAUCGCCUAUUAUUUCGGAGAGGACCUAAACCAAAUAUUUAAGUGUUUCCAGAAAGAAACCACUUUUCCCCAGAUAUUAGAAGAUAUUCCAAAAUCUCCAUUUAUUGCUUGCAUAGGUAACACGGUAGCGACUGCUGAGACUUUUUACGUCAUCGCUGAACGAGAAGUGGUGUGUUCCUGUAGAUCGUUUUUUGAAGCGGUGGCUUUUCAGUUUGCUUCGUUCUAUGUUUUCAACAUAGAAUAUCCAAAUAAGGCCUCGCUGACGUUUGAUUUUAUUCAGAGGUUCUUCGGUGACAUAAACCCCAGCGGCACUAAGUCGAAAAAAAGUAAAGGCAAAGACGUUAAUGCAAAAGUAAUCGGCCUUGCAAGAAGAGUGAAUCUAUCACAGGCGUUAUAUGUGCCGUUGUUAGAAAUUGAUGUUUAAGUAAACUUUGGUGGUGUUACUGCUAGGGUUGCCACUUCCGGAUACAUUUUUUUUCGAAUCGAAUUUUUCCGAAUCUGAUUCCAUUGAGCUUUUUUUUAUUUUUUUUCAUUGCAUGCCUAUUUUUGCUCAAAGUCACAAAAAAGCUCAAAUCUAGAAGAGAAAACUUGAAAAUGGAAUAUGCUAGAUAGCAGGGAUGACAAAGUUUUUUCAGUGAAUAAGCCACACUUAUUUCCACCAGGUUAAAAAAUAUGUGAGUUAUCUGUGAGUCUUACAAUACUGGGUUAUUAUUGUGUGUAGCUUUACACAUACAAUGUACUUGUAUCAGUACUGAGGCAAUUUGAUGAAAUUUCUUUCGAAACUGUUUUUUACAAGCCUUAAAGGCAUUCAGUGUGUAUUUAUGCUAAAAAUAUUAAUUGUAAUAAAAUGAUUUUCGUUUCCAGAAUCUCGUUUUUUUAUUUUAACUGUAAUAUUCUGUGUGUUUACUGUUGUGUCGUGCCAGUAGAUAUUUGCUACUCUCGUAGUGGUUCGGUCAUCGCGAGUGAGAAAUUACCAUCAUGCUAGUAUUGUAUGGUACUACUGUCGGGUAAGGUAGCUGCCAUCGAGAUAGUAAUUUUAUUUACUAUUUUAAGGUAAAAAAUAUUACUACUGGUGGGUAGGUUUACUGCCGUCAAAAAAGUAGUAUUUUUUACAGUUUUAUAGUAAUUUUUGCUACCAUCAAUCUCUGUAAA